GGUUUUUGUUCUAUUUUUGCUUUUAACAACUUUGUCACAUUUUAAGCUUAAUUUUCUCAAUGUCUCAAGCUAGGUUAUGUUGUUACUCUGCAUUCUUCGUAUGUCUGAAUUCUUCUUACAUUUCAAAAACAAUACUAAUAAAAAAAGAAGAUGUGAUAUAAUUGCCAGUGAGACAACUCUCCACAAAAGCCCAAAUGACACAGAACAUGUUGAACAUGUUAGCAAGAUCCCAACCCUCCCCUUUCCUGGGACAAUACAACAUAAGAACGAACUAUAAAAAUCAGUUAAAAAGCUUAACUCAUCAGAUGGACACAAUCAGAAAUACUUAACAGAGUGGCCGGGUACUUAUAUAUCUCGUACAACACCAACAAAAAAAAACAACUAAGUAUAGAAUACACAUUUGAAAAAGAGAAAAGAAAACUAAACACAAUAUAGAUUUCAAAAAUACGCUCUAUGAUAAGAAAUAAUAAAAAAAAACAAAUAGAUAAAUACAAGAAAACAGUUAAAGAAAAAUAAUACCCGACAAUUGACAAAACAAUCCCAGACUUACUAACUCAAAGAAAGGAGUUGUUUUUCAAUGAAACAUUUUGUUUAAAGUAAAGGUAGAAGCACAUACAACUCAAAGAUAUUGUGUUGUACAAGUUAUUAUCUUUUGCUCACCAAAAAUUGUACAAGUAAUUACUGGUACAAUUAUAUUUGUACAGGUAAUAACUUUAUUACUCAUACAAAGUGUUUGUACAAGUAAUAACCUCGACAAAAUAAUAAAAUGUACACG
rnacentral:lncRNA from 1 species